CCUGAUGCAGCGACGCCGCGUGAGGGAUGACGGCCUUCGGGUUGUAAACCUCUUUCAGCAGGGACGAAGCGAGAGUGACGGUACCUGCAGAAGAAGCGCCGGCCAACUACGUGCCAGCAGCCGCGGUAAGACGUAGGGCGCGAGCGUUGUCCGGAUUUAUUGGGCGUAAAGAGCUCGUAGGCGGCUUGUCGCGUCGAAUGUGAAAUCCCGUGGCUCAACUGCGGGUCUGCAUUCGAUACGGGCAGGCUAGAGUUCGGUAGGGGAGACUGGAAUUCCUGGUGUAGCGGUGAAAUGCGCAGAUAUCAGGAGGAACACCGGUGGCGAAGGCGGGUCUCUGGGCCGAUACUGACGCUGAGGAGCGAAAGCGUGGGGAGCGAACAGGAUUAGAUACCCUGGUAGUCCACGCUGUAAACGUUGGGCGCUAGGUGUGGGGGGCCUCUCCGGUCCUCUGUGCCGCAGCUAACGCAUUAAGCGCCCCGCCUGGGGAGUACGGCCGCAAGGCUAAAACUCAAAGGAAUUGACGGGGGCCCGCACAAGCGGCGGAGCAUGCGGAUUAAUUCGAUGCAACGCGAAGAACCUUACCUGGGUUUGACAUCGCCGGAAAUCUCGCAGAGAUGCGGGGUCCUUCGGGGCCGG
rnacentral:rRNA from 1 species